CUAACAGGUGGGUGGAGCUCUAUGACACUACAGCCUCUGUGUGCUCCUGUUGUGAGACCACAUGCCCCUCUACUGUGCCGACAGGGAAAAUGGUCUCUAGUGACCCGUGGAAGUUGCCUGAGAAUGCCAAGGAAUCUGUAGCACGGAUUGACAAGGCUGCGGAUGUUCCAGACCUCGUAGAGGCCGACUUGCACGAUGGAUUUGAAAAGUACUGGAGCAGCUAAAAUCCAGACGCAUCAUCUUGUGGAGGUUGAAAUAAAAUAUUGGUGGUUUUAACAUCCAUAA